GAGGAGAGAACGCACCGUUCGGUUGCACGAGGAACGCUCUGAUUGGAAAAAUAUCUAGAAGUAGUUAAAAAACACCGCGAGCUGACUCAACAGUCCACGGUUGAUGUUGCCCGCUCAGCGGUCAGGUUUUUGUGAAGGAUUUGAAUUGGUGACACUCGAUGUCAAGGGGACAUCAGCGACAUCGGUAGUCGACGAUAGAUAGGAGACCAGCACUGGAUAGCCACCAGGCGGCUUCCAGACAUCCGCUGGAGAUAACCAGAUGGCGAGCCGGAACUAAGGAACAGAGUCAACUGAACUACCUCCCAAACCUGCGAUGUGGUAGGAAACACAAAGAUCAAAGGGCCCCAACGAUAUAAACUGAGCUCAUAUCAAGGAAGAGAAGACCAUAAAGACAUUUCUUUAUAUUUCUAUUUUAUUUUGCGCGCAUUUUAUUAUUUUCCAUGUUGAAAAUUGUUGUUAACAAUACAGUUUUGAAACUAUA